rnacentral:rRNA from 1 species
GAUGAACGCUGGCGGCGUGCUUAACACAUGCAAGUCGAACGGAAAGGCCAGUGCUUGCCCUGGUACUCGAGUGGCGAACGGGUGAGUAACACGUGGGUGAUCUGCCCUGUACUUCGGGAUAAGCUUGGGAAACUGGGUCUAAUACCGGAUAGGACAACUUUUUGGAUAUUGUUGUGGAAAGCUUUUGCGGUAUGGGAUGAGCUCGCGGCCUAUCAGCUUGUUGGUGGGGUAAUGGCCUACCAAGGCGUCGACGGGUAGCCGGCCUGAGAGGGUGUACGGCCACAUUGGGACGGAGAUACGGCCCAGACUCCUACGGGAGGCAGCAGGGGGGAAUAUUGCACAAUGGGCGCAAGCCUGAUGCAGCGACGCCGCGUGGGGGAUGAAGGCCUUCGGGUUGUAAACUCCUUUCGCUAGGGACGAAGCGUUUUUGUGACGGUACCUGGAGAAGAAGCACCGGCUAACUACGUG